GGAAGCUGGUGCAAAUCCAGCGCGGUCGCGCCACUGUGAUCGGCCUUCGCGCCGAAAGUCAGAC
rnacentral:ncRNA from 2 species